AGCAAAGUCUAUGUGAAGUUGUGGAUUUCAACACUGAAACUUUAAUGAAAAGCUCAUGGAAACUUCAGUCUGUGUCCGAGCCAGCAGCAUAUAAAGACGCCUCGGAGAUGGGUCAACUGCCACGACAAAGCUUGGAGCCUGCGGAUCCCAUCUAUGACUACCCCAAAGCCUACUGUGAUAAACAACUGGUAAGUAACCAUGCAUGAGACCAUGAAUAAAUGUACACACUUAAGAAUGAAUAUGAUCAGUCCAUCGCCAUUGUAAUGAUCCUGUGUGUGGAAUGUGCUUGUUCUUUGAUGUGAAUGAUUGCUUUAUUGCUUUACCUUCCACUAGCCGGUGGGCAUAUCAAACUGUUUAUUGCCCUGCCUUGAGGUGAUAAUCCCGUUUAUUCUACUUCUU